UAUGGCCAUAUCACGUUGAAACACCGGUUCUAGUCAGGUCACCGAACUUCAGCAACGUUGAGGCUGGUCAGUACCUAGAAGGGUGACCACUUGGGACAACCAGGUGUUGUAAG